rnacentral:rRNA from 1 species
CCCUUAGAUGUCCGGGGCCGCACGCGCGCUACACUGAAGGAAUCAGCGUGGCUUUCUCCCUGACCCGAAAGGGUUGGGAAACCCGUUGAAUCUCCUUCGUGAUAGGGAUUGGGGCUUGAAAUUGUUCCCCAUGAACGAGGAAUUCCCAGUAAGCGCGAGUCAUAAGCUCGCGUUGAUUACGUCCCUGCCCUUUGUACACACCGCCCGUCGCACCUACCGAUUGAAUGGUCCGGUGAAAUCUUCGGACCGUGACUUUGAUUUGUUUACUCAAAACGCUGUUACGGGAAGUUGAUUAAACCUUACCAUUUAGAGGAAGGUGAAGUCGUAACA